rnacentral:rRNA from 1 species
GACGAACGCUGGCGGCGUGCUUAACACAUGCAAGUCGAACGGAAAGGCCUUGCUUUCGUGGGGUGCUCGAGUGGCGAACGGGUGAGUAACACGUGUGUAACCUGCCCUUCACUUUGGGAUAACUUCAGGAAACUGGGGCUAAUAUCGGAUAGGAGCUCCUGCUGCAUGGUGGGGGUUGGAAAGUUGAGGCGGUUGCGGCUGGACUCGCGGCUUAUCAGCUAGCUGGUGGGGUAGUGGCUUACCAAGGCAUGGGCUGAUCGCCGACCUGGGAGGGUGGCCGGGGACAAGGGGCCUGAGGUAGGGAGCAGACGCCUACAUGAGGCAACAGUGGGGAAUAUUACACAAUGAGCGGGAGCCUGAUGAGAAGGCGCUGCGUGCGGGAUGACGGCCUUCGGGUUAUGAACAGCAUUCGCCUGAGACGAAGCGUGAGUGACGGUACUGAGUGAAGAAGCACCGGCUAACUACGUG